UGAAGGAGUUCAAGGCUGAGAGGAAUCUGUUGCUCACUGUGCUUCUCUGGUGAGAGAAGACCGAGUUCAGUGGGGUGGUUCUGAUUGGACAGGAUCGCCCUGAUCUUGGAGAGCAUCCUGUGCUCCACCACCUUCUCCACAGAGUCCAGACCCAGUCCAACCACAGAGCCUGCCUUCUUAAUGAGCCAUUUCAGCCGGAGAAUGUCUUUUUUCUUAGAACUGCCCCCCCAACACACAACACCAUAAAAAAGGGACACUGGACACA